rnacentral:lncRNA from 1 species
AGACACCUAAAGAUAGAAACAGUAUAAACUAUCUCUCCGUGGUAGAUGAAAAUGCAAUAAUUGUUCAUAAUAUAACACUUUGUUUUUUUCUAACUAUUUCAAAAAUUUGAGAUUUUACGUGUUCCUUAGAUAAAAACAUCAUUAAUGUCGUAGAGUGGGAUUCACUGUAGCGAAUCGGCUUCGUUUCAACGUGAAGAGUAUCAUGGCGUGGUGCGUUCAUAGCCUCCCUACCUCAAGAAAUGGAGAAAGCUUGAGAGGACAGUAACACCCUAUCAUAGAAAUAAAAAAAAAUAAAACACUACAAAAACUGAUAUGCUACAAGAAUCGUAAAGAGAUGGUUCGGCAUGUAGUAGAGCACGGAGCGGGUAUAAA